rnacentral:rRNA from 1 species
AUUGAACGCUGGCGGCAUGCCUUACACAUGCAAGUCGAACGGUAACGGGCCUUCGGGUGCCGACGAGUGGCGAACGGGUGAGUAAUACAUCGGAACGUACCCUGAAGUGGGGGAUAACGUAGCGAAAGUUACGCUAAUACCGCAUAUUCUGUGAGCAGGAAAGAGGGGGAUCGCAAGACCUCUUGCUUUAGGAGCGGCCGAUGUCGGAUUAGCUAGUUGGUGAGGUAAAGGCUCACCAAGGCGACGAUCCGUAGCGGGUCUGAGAGGAUGAUCCGCCACACUGGGACUGAGACACGGCCCAGACUCCUACGGGAGGCAGCAGUGGGGAAUUUUGGACAAUGGGCGCAAGCCUGAUCCAGCCAUGCCGCGUGAGUGAAGAAGGCCUC